CCCAGACCCUGCCGAGUUCUCCUGCCACUACCUGGGGGCCCUUCCCCGCUGGCCCUGAGAAGAGGACCGGAGUCUGUGGGUGGCCCACACCCUGGGCUCUGUGUGCAGCGCCCUGUGGGAGCAGGCUUGGGGCUGGGAGGGGGCAGCUCUGUAAGCAGAGGGGGGAUGGGCAGAUACCACUUCACUCCUGAAAAAGGAUCACGAUCUCUGUCCAUGUGGGAAUGGUUUCUACUGUCAGUGAAGGAAGUUGCGCCGCUCAGUCCUGCAUUGAAACGCUACAGCCUCAGGUUCCCUCAGGUCUGCUCAGAGACCAUGUGCAUUAUACAACCUGAAGGGACUUGGAAGGUCUUGUCUUGCAUCCUUAUUCAUAGACAGAGAAACUGAGGCUCCAAAAGGUGGUUUACCCAAAGCCACAGAGGGAAUUAGUGGCAGAGCUGGGCUCCUCCUGAACUGGGCACCUGUUUCUGAGCCUUUCUGCUUCCCCAGCCUGCUUUCCAAGCUGCUGUCUUGUUUUGUCACCACAACACCCAGGGUAGAAAACAGCCUCGCUCUACAGAGCUCCAGGGUGGCGGCCGGAAGCAGCUUGCCCGUGCAGCCUGUCCCCACUCCGCAACGCCAGGCUGUCACUAGGACAUUCAGCUGCUCUGAUGGGAAUGUCACUAGAGGAGGUGUGGAUGGAGAACACACACCAGCCUCAGGCUCAGCCUGUCCCAAGGACAGAAACGUGCGGUGACUGGGGGCACAUUUUCUCCCCUCACAUGUCAGCCAGAGUGGGCUUUGCCUUUGGCCAGAACCAGUGGGUGUGGCAGAGCAAGGAGCUGGCUUGCAUCUACCAAAACCUUUCCCUCCUGCCUGUGCCCCUGCGGGACACGCACCAUUUCCUCCUGUUAGCCUUCAACAAUUACAUUUCCGUUCAGGAAUUCUGCAUAUGAAUUCUGCACUUGAAAAUAAGAACGAAAAACCAAUUGAGUAUCCCAAGUGGCUGCCCUAAAUAGUUGGAGUGCGCCCCUAGCAGUAUAUUAUUGGUAUUACUAUGAAUACUACCAAGUUAAUUCCUAUUUCCGGGGUACUCUGAAAACCUCACAGACAUUCUCAUUGAAUACGCUACUAAUCCAGUGAGGUAGGCACUUUUAUCCUGUUCUAUAGGAAAGAGGACUGAGGCUCAGCAAGUUUAAAUAACAUGCUCAGGGUUAUCAUGCUGGUAAAUGGAGAGCUGGAAUAGAACAGAAGCAGUGAGCCACAUUUUUAUUCACUACUGUCAGAGCGUAGAGAUCACCUAGCUGAUGCCCAGCGAGAGGCACAAGGUCUGUUAGUUGGUGGUGGAGAUGGGAUCAGCCCAGGCACCCUUGACCACAUCAUGCUGCCUUCUGUUUGGCCGGCCCUGUGAAGACUGACCCUGGGCCAGGGUAGCUCAGAGCAGGAAGUAUCUUAGUAGGGGGUGGUCUGUGCGUGCCUUUCUCCGGCGUCAAUCCCUGCUGCCCCCAUGGGACCUGGUCCCCACCAAGCCAGAAGAAAAGGCCAGGAGCUCAAGUCAUGAAAAGUAGGGGAAUUUCCUCCAUAGCCCGUUAAUCCCCCUUUUCCUACUACCCGGGUGGAGGAAGCGAGGGAAGGGCCAGUGAGAUCAAGGAUGCGGGGGCCGUGGCCCUGUGUUCCUGGGCUUUCUUCAUCUCUUGGCUUCUCCACUUGGUAAUGUGGCCAAGCCGCUGAACUCAACUCUCUCUCAAAUGGCGGGGUCACAUCUAGAACCAGACAGGCCACCAUGGGCCACAGCAAUGUUUUUUCGGAUGGAGCUGUAUUCUUUCCAGCCUCCCUUCAUCUUCCUUCAUCUUCUCUCUCCCCUUAGGGCUGCUCUGCUUCUCUCUUUCUUCCUCCUGCUCCCAUCUCUCCCCUAUCGACCCUGCUUUUCCCACACGAAAUGUGUAAGUCACUGCAUGAGAAGAAACCUGUCAAAUCGAUACAUGUGUUUCACAAAUAAAUGACCAAAUUAGCCAAACAAA